rnacentral:rRNA from 1 species
GUGCCAGCAGCCGCGGUAAUACGUAGGGUGCAAGCGUUAAUCGGAAUUACUGGGCGUAAAGCGUGCGCAGGCGGUUUUGUAAGACAGUGGUGAAAUCCCCGGGCUCAACCUGGGAACUGCCAUUGUGACUGCAAGGCUAGAGUGCGGCAGAGGGGGGUGGAAUUCCGCGUGUAGCAGUGAAAUGCGUAGAUAUGCGGAGGACACCGAUGGCGAAGGCAAUCCCCUGGGCCUGCACUGACGCUCAUGCACGAAAGCGUGGGGAGCAAACAGGAUU